AUUCCAGCUCCAAUAGCGUAUAUUUAAGUUGUUGCAGUUAAAAAGCUCGUAGUUGGAUUUCGGUUAAGAGCGACCGGUCCGCCGAUGGGUACGCACUGGCCGGCGCGUCCUUCCACCCGGAGACCGCGCCUACUCUUAACUGGGCGGGCGCGGGAGACGGGUCUUUUACUUUGAAAAAAUCAGAGUGUUUCAAGCAGGCAGUCGCUCUUGCAUGGAUUAGCAUGGGAUAAUGAAAUAGGACUCUGGUGCUAUUUUGUUGGUUUCGAACACCGGAGUAAUGAUUAACAGGGACAGUCAGGGGCACUCGUAUUCCGCCGAGAGAGGUGAAAUUCUCAGACCAGCGGAAGACGAACCACUGCGAAAGCAUUUGCCAGGGAUGUUUUCAUUA
rnacentral:rRNA from 1 species